AAGAAUGAAAAACAUUAUUUAGGUGAUGCUCCAGAGAUGAAGUGUUCUCCAGGCUUCGUGACUGUGGUACUCAUAUUGCUUGGACAAACACAUGGAGACUCAGUGACUCAGACAGAGGGCCAAGUGACCCUCUCAGAAGAGGCUUCCCUGACUAUAAACUGUACCUAUUCAGCAACUGGGUAUCCAAAUCUCUUCUGGUAUGUCCAGUAUCCAGGAGAAGGUCUAGAGCUCCUCCUGAAAGCCAUGAAGGACAAGGAGAAAGGAAGCAACAAAGGAUUUGAAGCCACCUACAACAAAGAUUCCAAAUCCUUCCACUUGGAGAAAGGCUCAGUGCAAGCCUCAGAUUCAGCUGUGUACUACUGUGCCAUGUACGACACAGUGAUGGGGACUGCAGGGGGAGCUGAGCACAAACUCUGA